AACGCUAGCUACAGGCUUAACACAUGCAAGUUGCGGGGUAACAUUUGACAGAGCUUGCUCAGUCAAGAUGACGACCGGCGCACGGGUGAGUAACGCGUAUCCAACCUGGCCCAUACCACGGGACAGCCCGUCGAAAGGCGGAUUAAUACCGUAUGCAGUCAUAGACAAGCAUUUGAAUAUGACGAAAGGAUUCGGCGGUAUGGGAUGGGGAUGCGUCUGAUUAGCUUGUUGGCGGGGUAACGGCCCACCAAGGCGACGAUCAGUAGGGGUUCUGAGAGGAAGGUCCCCCACAUUGGAACUGAGACACGGUCCAAACUCCUACGGGAGGCAGCAGUGAGGAAUAUUGGUCAAUGGGCGAGAGCCUGAACCAGCCAAGUAGCGUGAGGGACGACUGCCCUAUGGGUUGUAAACCUCUUUUGUUUGGGAAUAAAGUGCGGGACGUGUCCCGCAUUGCAUGUACCAUUUGAAUAAGGACCGGCUAAUUCCGUGCCAGCAGCCGCGGUAAUACGGAAGGUCCGGGCGUUAUCCGGGUUUAUUGGGUUUAAAGGGAGCGUAGGCCGCAGGUUAAGCGUGUUGUGAAAUGUAGGGGCUCAACCUCUGCACUGCAGCGCGAACUGGCUUGCUUGAGUACGCACAACGUGGGCGGAAUUCGUGGUGUAGCGGUGAAAUGCUUAGAUAUCACGAAGAACUCCGAUUG
rnacentral:rRNA from 1 species